rnacentral:lncRNA from 1 species
CACUCCUGCAAGCUUUCCUCACCAAGGUGCCACUGUGGGAGGCCUAGACCUGACACUCCUGUUCUCCCUGACCCAGAUGGGAUGGAUGAAGAUGAAUGACAAAGAGAAACCAAAUCAGCUUAACAUGGGGGAAGCCAGGGCGCUCUCUUAAUAGGCAGAGGAGCCCCAUGUCUGGCUUUUCUUGUUUUUAUUCACCCAAACAUGGCAAUCAAAGUAACACAAGAUUCAUCUGUUUUCCAAUAUUCAUUGGUAAUUGCCCAGGCCUCAAUCCUCGUCUGGUCUACAACAUAUACAGCGAACCCUCAAGUCACAACCGGCCUGCUAUACCAACAACUUGGGUUAAUUAGGUUAAUGGAAGAUUCAUCUGCCCCUUGUUAUUGAUCACGUGUAUCCAGUACUCACCGUGUUAUCUACCACAAUCUUUGGAAUCCUCCGGAGAAAUCACUACUGCGUGGGGGGGACAUGGCCUGAGGUGCCACUUGCUCCUGUACUUGUAAAGCCU